rnacentral:rRNA from 1 species
GACGAACGCUGACGGCGUGCUUAACACCUGCAAGUAGAAGGGAAUGGCGAAAGGGUGAGUCACACGUUAGUAACCUGCCCUGUUCAUUGGGAUAAGCCUGGGAAACGGGGUCUAAUAAUAGAUGUCUUGGGAUGGGCUCGCGGCUUAUCCGCUUGUUGGUGGGGUGAUGGCUUACCAAGUCUUUGACGGGUAGCCGGCCUGAGAGGGGGGUCGGUCACACUGGGACGGAGAUAAGGCCCAGAUGCCUACGGGAGGUAGAAGUGGGGGAUAUUGCACAAUGGACGAAAGUCUGAUGCAGCGACGUCGGGUGGGGGAUGAAGGCCUUCGGGUUGUAAACUCCUUUCGCCCGCGGAAUGGUAGUGGGUAAAGAAGCGCCGGCUAACUACGUGCCAGCAGCGGCGGUAAUAC